AGCAGUCGCCGCGGGAAUACGGAGGGGGCUAGCGUUGUUCGGAAUUACUGGGCGUAAAGCGCACGUAGGCGGCUUGGUAAGUUAGAGGUGAAAGCCCGGAGCUCAACUCCGGAAUUGCCUUUAAGACUGCCGAGCUAGCAGGUGAGAGAGGUAAGUGGAAUUCCGAGUGUAGAGGUGAAAUUCGUAGAUAUUCGGAAGAACACCAGUGGCGAAGGCGGCUUACUGGCUCAUACUGGACGCUGAGGUGUGAAAGCGUGGGGAGCAAACAGGAUUAGAUACCCCAGUAGUCCCUGUCUCUUAUAC
rnacentral:rRNA from 1 species